CGGUCUUUCCCAUUCCUAGAAAUUGUGCAUGAACAUGAAGUACUUCCUUGCUCACUUGAUGCUGUCUUAGGCUUGUUUAGAAAUAGGACCCUAAUUGCUUUAAGAAAUCUGACUAAAAAGUAAUGGACAAUGUACAAAUGUACCCUCAGCACACCCUCUAAGCCCGGUCCUGGCACAUAUCGACGAGUUUGUCGGUUUCAUUUUGGUAUGGUUUGGUUUACCCACUCCUUGCUC